UACGUCUACGGGCACAGCAGGCGCGAAAACUUUACAAUGUGCGAAAGCACGAUAAGGGAACUCUGAGUCCUCCUAUGGAGGCUGUUCAGGGUCUAAAAAGCACUAAGACGGC
rnacentral:rRNA from 1 species